CAGGCCUUUCUGCACGUCGCGCAUGCCCUCGCUGCUCACAGGGUACUCGGCGCUCAGCCUGCGGGGGGGGAGGGGCGUGGGCACUCCGAGGUCCCCCUCAGGUGGAUGGGGGGCCCGGGAGCUCUGAGGUCUCCCCCUGAUGGAAGGAGGGGUACAGGGUCUCUGAGGUCACCCUUGGAUGGAUGGGGGGACACAGGGACUCUGAGGGUACCCCCAGAUGGAUGGGGGGCCCACAGGACUCUGAGGUCUCCCCCUGGGUGGAUGGGGAGGGCAUAGGGACUCUGAGGUCUCCCCCUAAUGGAAGGGGGGGUACAGGGUCUCUGAGGGUACCCCCAGAUGGAUGGGGGGGUGACCAUGGGGAUUCUGAGGUCUCCCUAUGAUGGAUGGGGGGGCACAGGGACUCUGAGGUCUCCCCCUGGGUGGAUGGGGAGGGCAUAGGGACUCUGAGGUCACCCCUAAUGGGAAGGGGGGACACGUGGACUCUGAGGUCACCCUCGGAUGGGGGGCACGGGAGCUCUGAGGUCUCCCCCUAAUGGAAGGGGGGGUACAGGGUCUCUGAGGGUACCCCCAGAUGGAUGGGGGGGUGACCAUGGGGAUUCUGAGGUCUCCCUAUGAUGGAUGGGGGGCCCACAGGACUCUGAGGUCUCCCCCUGGGUGGAUGGGGAGGGCAUAGGGACUCUGAGGUCACCCCUAAUGGGAAGGGGGGACACGUGGACUCUGAGGUCACCCUGCGAUGGAUCCCAGGCCUGCCCCUCCUGCUCAGCACCCCCAACACGUGCAGAAACUCACAUGAUGAAGGCCGUCACCCCGACGGCCCAGACAUCGGUCUGCGGGACAGCACCCUGCCCCUCCAGGAGCUCGGGAGCUGGGGGGCACAGUCCCCCACAGCCCAGGACCGCUCCGGGAUGUCACUCCCCCACGCGCACCCAUGGUCUCGAUGUAGUCCUUGAACGUCUCCGAGGGCAGGACCUUGUCCUGGGUGAGGCUCUGGGCAUUGCCGAAGUCAACCACCUUGAGCAGGUUGUACUCGGUGACGAUCAUGUUCUCCGACCUGAGGUCCAGGUGCAGGAUGCGCUGGCCGUGCAGGUACUGAGCCACGCUCAGCAUCUGCCACAGUGGCAGACAUUACUAAUCAAUUGACGCACUCUCCAACUGAAUCCAGAUUCUGUACCCCAGUUUGCUCCUUCGGCCACAGAAGUUCAGGGCUUCCCCCGACGACUCAGUGGCAUCACUCCGGAAGCCUCCAGUCUGCUUAGCCCUGUGUCAUAUUCUGCCCCCAGUUCCUAAUUCCCCUGGUCUUGAUGUUUUUGUUAGUCUCCAUCUUCUCCUGCUUUGCCUGGUGGCCUGUGCAGCUGGCUGAGCCAACACCUGGCAGGCAAGAGUCACAGACUGGCCCAGGACCACUGUCUCAUCCGAGAGCUCCUUUAGGAAUGACGGGGCUGAAGAGCAAGUGUGACGAAAGCAGCUCAGACAACGCUCUCCAGGGGUUAGACAUGAUCCUCGAGUGCCAGGCCCGAGAGUGUGGCUUGAACCCCACGAUGGGCAGCAGGCACCGGGAUGCCCUUCUGGGUCAACAGGAGCCUUGACCACCCAGCUUACUCCUGCCAAGCCCUUGGCCAGGCUGGGGACAGAGGAGCUCAUCCCGCAACUCCAUCUGUCACCUCCUGCAGGAAGCCCUUCCUGACUGCUCCAGCGCGAUGCUGGGCUCCUGACAACCCCCACCCUGGCUGGAAAACCCAUUUGGGAUCUGACCCAUGGGAACAGCUUUCUCCCACUGGUCUGGCUGCCAGGGAGGCUGGAGGCCACUGCUUCUGCUAUCCACCCUGGCAGCAGGUUCUUCGGGAAAGCUGAAUGCUCAGGCACUCACCUCGGUCCCUGCUCUUCAGACCUGACAGGCGGAAGGACGCCAGGCCAGGCUUCCUCCUGGGGAGCCCUUCCUCUGGACCUGCAGAGAGAGAAGGGAAGCCGUGGAGAUCACACCCCAAAAGGCCACGGAGCCUCGGGGCCGCUGCCUCCUGCUGGGCUGCCAGGAUCCACUGGGGCGGGUGGGGAUUCUGCCCUGAGCCCCCAGGUCCUGCCUUCCACUCCCCAGAGAAAUGGCCGUGGACCCUGGGGGCUUCACUGGAAACUGGAGCUCGACCUGCUGCUGCCACCACCCUCUCCCUGCACUUCUAGGCACUGGGGCCCGUCUGGAGGACCCUGGUAGAGGGCUG